AAACGUAGGUGGCAAACGUUAUCCGGAUUUACUGGGCGUAAAGCGCGCGCAGGCGGCUUUGUAAGUCUGACGUGAAAGCUCCCGGCUUAACUGGGAGAGGCCGUUGGAUACUGCGAAGCUUGAGGUUAGGAGAGGAAAGUGGAAUUCCCGGUGUAGUGGUGGAAUGCGUAGAUAUCGGGAGGAACUCCAGUGGCGAAGGCGACUUUCUGGCCUACACCUGACGCUGAGGCGCGAAAGCGUGGGGAGCGAACAGGAUUAGAAACCCCAGUAGUCC
rnacentral:rRNA from 1 species